rnacentral:lncRNA from 1 species
GUGUCUGUGGCAGCAUCUGUGUGUGUAUGUGAGACUGAAAGGAGGUGGGAGAUGAGGAGGGGAAGGGAAUCAGCUCCAGCAGCAACAGGCUCUAUUCUUCAGUUCUGCUAAAAGAAAGAGGAAGAGAGGAAGAAAAAAAUAGACACUCCUUUUUUUUCUCACGACACACCCUGAAGGAGAAGGCGCCUAGGCGCUGUCCGUAGUGCUGAAAUGGUGCGUGGUGAGACCUGUCUCCCCAACACAAGCUAGAAGACAACAAAAUAGCAGCCAGGAAACGCUCUGAUAAAGCUCUAGAUAGCUGCCAGGCCGAGCUCAAGGGAGCAGAACUAAGUUACAUGAUUCUGCUGCGGAUGUAUAAGCACCACUCCAAUAAUUUAUUAUCACGGUUGGAGACUUUGACUUGUCACUUUAUGACUUGAAAUAUGGCUCCAUGGUAAAUGCCCAUAAAGCUGAUUUUUAAAAUCUGGAUAUUACAGUUCUAAUUCUCACUUAGUUUAAAAGGUAGAAUAGGCUUCUUGUUUCAUAGAUCAUUUGUGUGAAUGUUGAUUUGUUAUGUCAUUGACAUCAUACACACAUGCUUACAUUUUGAAGGUUGCUAGCGUUUCCCAUUAAUGCUUCUGAAUUGAUGCCAAAGGAAAGCAUUGAUUAUAAAUUAGGUUCCUUGGUAUUAGUUGGUGCAUGACCCUGACCCUUUUCAAGCUAUAUGAAAGGUAAUGAUGCUCUCAAAAGCCUGCAAAAUGGCUUAUUCAGGAAAGCAUAAUGGAUUAAAAAUCCAUUAGGUUCCACUUUCUUUGCUAGAUGCUGAGAUACAAAGAUAAAUGAGAUUUGGUCUCUGCCCUCGAGGAGAUACGUGGCAAAAUAAUAUGGUAAGUUCUACAAAGUUCUAUACAAACACAGAUUAAUAUGCUAUUCAUGUUUUAUUAGCCAUUGCCAAAGAAGGGAUGAAGAACUGCAAAAAGAUAAAACACAGAAUACUUGUACUUCAGGUCCUUGCCAAUAUCUACUGCCCAACUUUUACAAAAAAAAUUGCUGAAAGGCAUGAAAUAUAUGAAUGCCUUUCUAAAGCACAUGUGGAUAAUCUAUACUUCUGGAGCAUCUAUGAUUUAUUUUCAGAACAAUCCAAGUUAUUAGAAAGGUAAAUAUGUUGGUGACAUUGUUUAGAAGUUCCUCAAGCAGAAUUGCCUUUACUAUGCUUUGACAUUAUGCUCUCAGCUUAUAUACAGUAAUUCUAUGUGAAACAGUAGCCAGCUUACACAACCUGCUCUAUAUCUACUACAGAGCUGUUACUAAAGUGUUGGUCAACAUAUAACUUACUAUUUCUUAUAUAAAGAUGCCCAAGAAAUUUAGAUUUCAUAGAUAUAUCCCCAAAAGCAUUUCUUUCAAUACCAGUUUAAUGAAUUGAACUUUCAUACCUCACUUAAAUCAACCCAGGGUAAAGUGGUAUGUUCUGUUCUUACACACAAUGAAAAUCAUGUAACUAAUUAAAGUUAGCAUUUAUUUUAGCUACUAGGGAUGCCAGAGUCAAAUUAACAGCUGAAAAUGAAUAACUACAUAAGACCUUAAGCCUUUUAUAUCUUUUCUUUUUUUUUAAUCACCUUAACUACUGCAAUUUUGGUUUCUUAGGUAAUGAUAAUAUUAUUUUCUUUUAAUUAUUUGUUUUAAUGUGUGACCUCAUGUAAAUGUCCUCAUAAAAUCAGAAGUGGAGUAAAUAAAUAAAUAAAGUAAAUUUCUCUACUUUUUGAUUAUUGGGUGAGUGUAUAUGGUUGUUUUAUAAAUUUAUUCUAAAUAGGAUACUAAAAUACAGAAAAUGUAUCAUCUAAUUAGCUAUGAAGAUAAAAAUCUAAACUAUAAUGAGGAAAUAUUAAAAUGUCAAGAUGACGAAGAAAUUUUUCAGUUUAUAUAAUUAUAGAUCAGCUUAAUUUCAAACCACUUUGUUACCCUAUUGCUAUUUUUAUACUCUAAAUAGUGUCCCUUAUAUGACUAAGACUUUUUGUUAUCUCAGAGAUUGGAAGUGUUAAUUGUCCACCUUGUUAGAAGACAUGGUAACUAUAGGAAUUUAGAAAGCAUGAUAGCCCAACUGUAAUGAAUAUAUUCUAGAAUGAGGUUGUCACAAAGAAACUGAAAACAAGAAUUUCCUCUAACAACUGAGCUCAGGAUUCUUUUCAGAGGAAAAUUUAGCUUGCAUAAAUUCUUGCCAUCUUGGCUCUAGUUGACUUCUUGCUCUCAACUUUUGCAAAGUGAGAUCACCUUUACCUCUUCAACCUAUGAGGCCAACAUGUUACUUUCAAUUUUUCAGGAAAAUCUACGUCUUGUUUGGCUGAGGUUUGAUUAUUAUUCCUUAACUAAAAUAUUUUAAUGUAGCUGUGCUUUUUAAUUUGAAUAUUGCUAUUGAUUCAAACAUUGGGUAGCAUAUCUUUCAAAUGUGAAAUUUUAAAACAUGUAUUAAAGACAAACAUAAAUUAGUUUUGGUAUAACUAUUUUUUAAGAUUAAUCCAAUGCUUUUUUGGCUUUAGAUGAUGUUUGGUAAUUAGCUAUAUUCAAAAGUCAACCUUUUUUUUUUUUCAAAAAAUGAACUCCUAUGUAUAUGAGUGUUAUUUUUAUCUACCCAUGUCUUUUUUGUCUACAUAUACAGUUUUAAUCAUUGUUUCGGGGGGAGGAAUAAGAAUGAUUUUGAAAUUUCACUAAGAAAGAUAU